AGCUAGUCUGAGCUCAGUGGUGUUUGCAACUAAUUGAUCACAACCAGAUACAGAUUCCUUUGUUCCUUCUUCACUCCCUGUUUCACUUGACUAGCCUUAA
ensembl:misc_RNA Y_RNA Y RNA